AAUGAACGCUGGCGGCAUGCCUAACACAUGCAAGUCGAACGAAGUCCUUCGGGGCUUAGUGGCGCACGGGUGCGUAACGCGUGGGAAUCUGCCCCUUGGUUCGGAAUAACAGUUGGAAACGACUGCUAAUACCGGAUGAUGACGUAAGUCCAAAGAUUUAUCGCCGAGGGAUGAGCCCGCGUAGGAUUAGGUAGUUGGUGUGGUAAAGGCGCACCAAGCCGACGAUCCUUAGCUGGUCUGAGAGGAUGAUCAGCCACACUGGGACUGAGACACGGCCCAGACUCCUACGGGAGGCAGCAGUGGGGAAUAUUGGACAAUGGGCGAAAGCCUGAUCCAGCAAUGCCGCGUGAGUGAUGAAGGCCUUAGGGUUGAAAAGCUCUUUUACCCGGGAUGAUAAUGACAGUACCGGGAGAAUAAGCUCCGGCUAACUCCGUG
rnacentral:rRNA from 1 species